GUCGUAAUGGACUCGGCAUACUGCUCAGUAACACGUGGAUAACCUGCCCUGUUCUAGGGGAUAACCUCGAGAAAUUGAGAAUAAUACCCUAUAUUCCACUACGCCUGGAACGGUGAGUGGAUUAAAGCUCCGGCGGAACAGGAUGGGUCUGCGGCAUAUCAGGUAGUAGUGGGUGUAAUGGACCCACUAGCCUUCGACGUGUACGGGUUGUGGGAGCAAUCGCCCGGAGAUGGAUUCUGAGACACGAAUCCAGACCCUACGGGGUGCAGCAGGCGCGAAAACUUCACACUGCGGGAAACCGCGAUGAGGGAAUUCCAAGUGUCUGGGGUAAGACCCAGUCUUUUCUAGACUCUUAAUAGGUCUUGGAAUAAGGGGGGGGUAAGACCGGUGCCAGCCGCCGCGGUAAUACCGGCCCCCCAAGUGGUCGUCACUUUUAUUGGGCCUAAAACGUCCGUAGCCUGUUUAGUAAACCCGUGGGUAAAUCAACCAGCUUAACUGGUUGAAUUCUGCGGAGACUGCUAGACUAGGGACCGGGAGAGGUACGAGGUACUCUUGGGGUAGGGGUAAAAUCCUGUCAUCCCAGGGGGACCACUUGUUGCGAAGGCGUCGUACUAGAACGGAUCCGACGGUCAGGGACGAAGCCUAGGGGCACGAACCGGAUUAGAUACCCGGGUAGUCCUAGGUGC
rnacentral:rRNA from 1 species